CUCAUUAUGUGUAAAUAACACACACGGGUCGACACAUACACCGGGGUGCUCUCAUGCGACUAAUCCUAUGAAGAGUCCGCAGCCAAAGAGUCGGUGUCAUGGGACUUGUGGAGGCAUAAC
rnacentral:sRNA from 1 species